AGGGCCCAGCACCGGCAAGGCUCUUCAUUUGAGGACCCUAAUCUGGCUGAACUGUGCUCUGCCUAGUUCCCUGGUGAACUGCACCACCAUCUUGGCUCUGCAGAUGAGCAAAACUGCCAGUUGGAACUACCACUUGGACACUGCAGCAAUAACAAACUGGUGGUCAUCUAGUGGAACAAUCAAGAGGCUUCGUAUUCCCCUUCAGAGGCUUGUUAGCAUCCUUAAAAGGCCUCUCUCUAAUACCAGGCCUGCUGCUAAGGUGUUGAUAGCUCAAGAUGGAAGAAACCUGAAUCUUAGAGUCUUUCGAUGAAAGAGAACUCCUACGAAUACACACUGGCUUUUUUUGUAAGUCACUAAAAUUUUGGGUUCAUCUUUUAUGGCAGCAAGGCUAAGACAGUGAACCUCUUUAACCUCGAUCCUUUUAUACUUUUGAAGUGACUUGGGGCUACACGUGCAAAAUUGUUUCUUUGACCAGCUCCUCUCACUAUUCUGCAUCAUCAUCCUAGGUCCUACCUCUGAAAUAUGGGAAUAGGUGUCACAGACUGUGUGUUCUCAUUCUGUUGUGACCUCAUCUAUUUAUAUUUUCAUGUAUUAAAUGAUAAUA